ensembl:lncRNA
AACUGCACCACAGCAGUGACAAUGUCAGAUCCUUUAACCACUAGGCCACCAGGGAACUCCAAAAUUCACCAUUUUAAAGUGGGAAAUUCAGUGGUUUUUAGAAUAUUCACAGAAGAGUUCCCAUCGUGGCUCAGUUGUUAAGGAACCCAACUAGUAACCGUGAGAUUCGAUCCCUGGCCUUGCCCAGUGGGUUAAGGAUCUGGUGUUGCGGUGAGCUGUGGUGUAGGUCACAGCCCUGCUCCGGUCCCACGUUGCUGUGGCUGUGGUGUAGGCAGGCAGUCAGAGCUCCAAUUCAAUCCCUAGCCUGGGAACCUCCAUAUGCCUCCGGUGUGGCCCUACAAAGACAAAAGACAAAAAAAAAAAAAAAAAAAAAAAAAAAAAAAAAAAAAAAAAAGAAGAAUAUUCACAGAACUGUGCAACCAUUGCUGCAACAGUCACCCCUUGGUCUCCAUGGGGAAUUGACUCCAUAGACACCAAAAUCCGAGGAUGCUCAAGUUCCAUGGUUACCGCUCCCUAUUUGUGGUACUGUAUCCAUGGACUUAACCAACUUUGGGUCUGUAGUACUGAAGGUAUGUAUUGAAAAAAAAAAAAAAAAACCUGUGCAUAGGUGGAUCCAUGCAGUUCAAACCCAUGUUGUUCAAGGGUCAACUGUAUAUCAUUCCAGAACAUCUACACCACCCUUAAAAGAAACCCCGAAUCCAUUAGGUCACUUCUCAUUGCCUUCUGCCAGCCCCCCCGGGCACCACUCCUCUACUGUCUGUCUGUAUCGAUUGGCCUGUUCUAGACACUUCUUAUAAAUGGAAUCAAUUGUGUCUGGACUUUUUGUUCGUUUUUUUAGUUUUCUUUUUUAAAUGAUUUUUAUUUUUUCCAUUAUAGUUGGUUGACAGUGUUCUGUCCGUUUUCUACUACACAGCAACAUGACCUAACCACACACAUACACAUUCUUUUUCUCACGUUGUCCUUGGCCUUUUUCAUUUAGUGUAAUUUGUUCCAGGUUCAUCCAUGUGAUGCAUGUAUCUGUAUUUCUUUCCUUUUUAUGGAUGAAUCGUAUUCAGUGGCAUGGAUAUAGUGCAUUUUUUCCCCUCUCCGUUAUCAGUUGAUGAACAUUUGACUUGCUUCCACUCUCUGGCUCUUGUGAAUAAGCACUGAUGUGAACGUUUGUGUAGAAAUUUUUGUUUGAACACGUGUACCUAGGAAUCACGUGAGUCACUGAAUCAUAUGCUAGCACUAACUUUUUCAGUAAGUGCUAAACUUUCCCAAGUGGUUGUACCAUUUUACAUUCCAAGCAGCAGUGUAUAAGGGUUCCAGUUUCUCUACAUUCUUGCCAACACCUGUUACGUUUUAGUUUUUAAUGAUAGCUGUCCUAGUGGGUGUGAAGCGGUAGCUCACUGUGGUUUUGAUUUGCAUUUCCCCGAUGGCUAACUAUUCUGAGUACCUUUGCAUGUGCCUGUUGACCAUUUCUAUAUCGGAAAAACGUCUAAUCAAAUUCUUUGCUGGUUUUAAAAUGUUUUGUUGUUGUUGUUGUUGAUCUGUGGGAGUUCUUUGUGGUUUUUAAAUCUUAGACCCUAAUCACAUACGUGAUUUGCAAAUGUUUUCUCCUGGUCUAUGGGUCGUCUUUUAAUUUUCUUGACUGUGUUUUUUGAAGCACAGGAUUUUAAAACUUUACUUCCAAUUAACCUUUUUCUCUUAGGUUGCUUAUGAUUUAGGUGUCAUAUCAGAGAAACUUUUGCUUAAUCCAGGCUCAUGAAGACGGUGCCUAUUUUUCUUUUAAAUUUAAUAUUUUAGGAGUUCCCGUCGUGGCGCAGUGGUUGACGGAUCUGACUAGGAACCAUGAGGUUGCGGGUUCGAUCCCUGCCCUUGCUCAGUGGGUUAAUGAUCCGGUGUUGCCGUGAGCUGUGGUGUAGGUUGCAGACGCGGCUCGGAUCCCGAGUUGCUGUGGCUGUAGCAUAGGCUGGUGGCUACAGCUCCGAUUAGACCCCUAGCCUGGGAAACUCCAUAUGCCGCGGGAGUGGCCCAAGAAAUGGCAAAAAGACAAAAAAUAAAAAUAAAUAAAUAAAAAGUAAAAAUAAAUUUAAUAUUUUGGCUCUUACAUUUAGGUCUAUGAUCCAUUUUGGGUUAAUAUUUAUAUGGUAUGAGGUAGGGGUUCAUCUUCAUUCUUUUACAUAUGGAUAUCCAGUUGUCCCAGCACUAUUUGUUGAAAAGAUGAUUUUUCCCCCUAAUUGAAUUGUCUUGGUAUCCUUGUCAAAGAUAAAUUUACCAUAUUUGUUUUUUUUUGUUUGAUUUAUUUCACUUACAUGAAAUCCUCCAGGUUCAUCCAUGUCACCACAAAUGGGUGACACCCAUGGCAUAUGGAGGUUCCCAGGCUAGGAGUCCAAUCAGAGCUGCAGCUGCUGGCCUACACCACAGCCACAGCAAUGCCAGAUCCGAACUGCAUCUUUGACCUAUACUACAGCUCACGGCAACACUGGAUCCUUAACCCACUGAGCGAGGCCAGGGAUUGAACCUGCAACCUCAUGGUUCCUAGUCAGAUUUGUUAACCACUGAACCAUGAUGGGAACUCCCCCAUUUUCUUAAUUGUUUUGGAUUUGUUAUUGUUGGACUUUUUCUUCCCUUCCUUCCUUCUUUGUUCUCUUGUGAUUUGAUGACUAUCUUUAGUGUUGUAUUUGAGUUGCUUAUCCUCCCCCCCUGACCCCCGCAUCCAUGGCAUAUGGAAGUUCCCAGGCCAAGGAUCAAUCCAAGCCAUUGCUGCAACCUAUGCAACAGCUGCAGCAGUGCUGGAUCCUUAACCUACUGUGCCACAGCAGAAACUCCUGGGUAAAAUAUUCUUGGAUGAAGUUUUUCCCUUUCAUCACUUUAAAUAUAUCUUGCCAUUCCCUUCUGGCCUGUAGAGUUUCUGCUGAAAAUUCAGCUGAUAACCUCAUGUGGAUUCCCUUUGUAUGUUAUUUGUUACUUUUCCCUUGUAGCUUUUUAAUAUUUUUUCUAUGUAUUAAAUGUUUAUCAGUUU